UCAUGACAUUGAUGUGUUGAAGCGAUCAGAUUCAAACAUCCACAACUAAGGCCAUUAAAUUACAAAAGAAAAAAAAAAAAAAAGACUGCCAUAAUGAAAUGGCUAUACUUCAAGAAGAUCUGUACAG